rnacentral:snoRNA from 1 species
GACGAUGAUUAUAAACUUUACAGACCUGUUCUGAAUCAACGUGUGGAUACAAAUCAUGCAUCACCAUAUGAGU